UUANCUCCAGAGAAAGCGAGCCAGCUAUGCUUGAGUGCCUCCCAAAGCCCACUCAGCAGGUUCUUUGAUUCCAUGAGCCUUGCUGGAGGGAGUGUGUAAGGAGAUGCAGACGGACACCGGACAAGCCCUGACAUAAAGAAUGUGGAGGGCAAAGGGAAGUGGCAGAGAGAGUCCUCACACGAACUCUACAUCUGAUUACAGCCUUCCUGGUUCAGCCCGAGAUGGAAGGGGGCUCUCACUUCUGAUCCAUUCGACAGUGAGCUCAUGACCCUCGUGUGUUUGCAUCAAAAUUGGCUCCUCAGUGGUCUUUGGGGUCCCUGAGACUUGGGUGUAACAAGGCUACUGGCCAUGUUUGGUCUGCUAUUUUGUCUUCCUGCUCUGGACUCUUCCAGAUGUCUCAGAUCCUGUUCUCGCUCAUAUCUACUAUAACAGUGACCCUUCUCCUCAACCACACCUUGGAACAGUCAUUUCCUCACUUCACGCACUGAUUGAAUGGGCAAACACGGAUUUCACAGGUCCACACUGAGGAUUUCAACAGAUCUCCUAGGGAACACAGCACAGCCUGUGACAAGUGAUGAACAUGUGAAGUGAGCCUGCGACUGUCACACCCAGGAUAGAAGGGCAGUGGCUGGAUUGCAGAGUGAAGGGAUGGGGACGGGGAGCGUUUGCAGCCUUUGUGGUAGAGGCCACACUCCAGUCCUGGAUGGUAGCCACUGAGAUGAGAUCUUUGGUUGUAAUACAUUAUCCAGCUGUGCCCUUCUGAAUGUGCACAUUUCUGAUUAUCUAGUGUGUCUCAAUAAAAAUGAGUAAAAAAUGAUGAUGUGUGCCAAACAGUAGUGAGUGGCCUGGGAAGCAGUUGAAAUACAAUACUAACUGGAAAACAUCAAGGUUAUAAAAGCAUAUUGCAAUUGAUUCCUUUUGGAGGGAAAACACAGCCUACAUCCACAGCAGGAAGUGUCUAGAGGGCAGACACUGCUGCCACUCAGGUCAAGGGAGAGAAACUACAAAUGUUUUCAGCUACAUACAUUCUCUGAUGUUUGGUGGGCUCUUGCUCUUUGUGUGGUGGCUUGAAUGUCAUAAACAAGUAAAGUNNNNNNNNNNNNNNNNNNNNN
rnacentral:lncRNA from 1 species